rnacentral:rRNA from 1 species
UAAUACGGAGGGGGCUAGCGUUGUUCGGAAUUACUGGGCGUAAAGCGCACGUAGGCGGACCAGAAAGUCAGGGGUGAAAUCCCGGGGCUCAACCCCGGAACUGCCCUUGAAACUCCUGGUCUUGAGUUCGAGAGAGGUGAGUGGAAUUCCGAGUGUAGAGGUGAAAUUCGUAGAUAUUCGGAGGAACACCAGUGGCGAAGGCGGCUCACUGGCUCGAUACUGACGCUGAGGUGCGAAAGCGUGGGGAGCAAACAGG